AAUAGAUACCCAGGUAGUCCACGCCGUAAACGAUGAGUGCUAAGUGUUAGGGGGUUUCCGCCCCUUAGUGCUGCAGCUAACGCAUUAAGCACUCCGCCUGGGGAGUACGGUCGCAAGACUGAAACUCAAAGGAAUUGACGGGGGCCCGCACAAGCGGUGGAGCAUGUGGUUUAAUUCGAAGCAACGCGAAGAACCUUACCAGGUCUUGACAUCCCACUGACCGCUAUGGAGACAUAGUUUUCCCUUCGGGGACAGUGGUGACAGGUGGUGCAUGGUUGUCGUCAGCUCGUGUCGUGAGAUGUUGGGUUAAGUCCCGCAACGAGCGCAACCCUUGAUCUUAGUUGCCAUCAUUUAGUUGGGCACUCUAAGGUGACUGCCGGUGACAAACCGGAGGAAGGUGGGGAUGACGUCAAAUCAUCAUGCCCCUUAUGACCUGGGCUACACACGUGCUACAAUGGACGGUACAAACGGUUGCCAACCGCGAGGGGGAGCGUAAGUCCGAUAAAACCCGUUCUCGAGUUCGGAUUGUAGGCUGCAACGUCGCUAC
rnacentral:rRNA from 1 species